AUGAUUUCUUUUCAUUAUGUUUUAGAAAACCUAAAAAAUGGCAAAAGUUCACUGGACCAUUUUUUUGGUCUUCUGGGUGGGGUCAUGAUUGGCACCUCUGGCCAUAGGCCAUGUGUUAUCAUGAACCUCACCACAGAGGAAUUCCUAUCAGCCAAAGAGGGCAAGGAUGGCCAUGCCAUUUUUGUCAAAAACCACAAAACGAACAACACUUUCGGCCAUGCAAUACUCCCCAUAACAAAUGGGGAGUACAAUUGCAUGGCAGAGUUCCUUAAAAAUUCGUGGUAGCUUUGAAGGGAGCCAGUCAGCCCACUUCUUUUUUAAUAAAAAAGGGUGGGCUGUAUAAGGGCCUCCUCAAGGCCUUCAUGAAUGUAUGGGAAGAUAUGGGCCUUCCAAAACCUGCCCCAACCUUUAUGAGCCUCAGAACAUCAAUGUCCACGCAGGUAAGUGUAAAUUAUGAUACACACACACACACACACACACACUUUCUCUCUCUGUCAUACAUUCUCUCAAACACAUACACACACACAGACACUUUCUCAAACACACUCUCUCACACAUUCACGCAUGUUUCUGUGAAUUGUGGGGACUUUCCAUAGUCUUCUGUUGUUUUUAUACUGACCAAACACCAUUUUUAUCCCCUAACCCAAUCCUACCCCUUACAGAAAACCUGUUUGCAUUGUUACAUUUUCAGAUAAACAUCAUAUAGUAUUUUUUUUUCCUUCAUGGGGACCACAGGCCGGACCGGACCCCACACAAUGUCAAAAGUUUCAGGUUUUACUUAUACUUAAGGGGACAUUUUGUUCCUCUUAAUGUAGUAUAAACAAGUGUGUGCAACACACGCUCUCACUCUCUCUCUCACUCUCUCUCUUACACUUUCUCUUUCUCUCUCUCUCUCUCUCUCCUCUCUCUCUCACUCUCUCUCUUACACUUUCUCUUUCUCUCUCUCUCUCUCUCUCAACUCACACACACACGUUUAGGUGCUCUUUUUGGCAUGACAAAUAUUUGUACAUUCGCAUACAUUUGCAUAAAAUCAAAAACAGUGCAAAAUAAUAUAAAGAAAAGAACAUUAAUUUAAGUAUAAAAUAUAACAGGCACACAAGUAGAAGUAAAUAAAAGUAAUACAGUACACAGUAAGUAAUAAGCUAAAAUAAAAAAAGCAUUAGUAAAAUGUGCAGGAGAUGGACUGGAGAGGUCACUUAUUGUCCCUCAUGUUGUGACAGGUGAACACAUAUUCUGCUGCUAGAAUGCAGCAGGCUGCACAUUCCACCAG
rnacentral:lncRNA from 1 species